AGCUAGGUGUAUAUAUACUUAGUUAUUUCUGCUCACUGGUAAUCUAAAUAGCCGCAGUACUCUGACUGUGCAAAGGUAGCAUAAUCAUUUGGCUUAUAAUUGAAGUCUGGCAUGAAAGAAACUAUGGGUAAUUACUGUCUCCCUUGGUCACCUUGAACUUCCUUAAAGGGUGAAAAUGCCCUUUGAUAAAUAAUAGACGAGAAGACCCUAGAAAUUUUUUAUACCAUAAGAUAAUCUUAUUUCUAUUUUGUUGGGGCGACAGAAUAACAUUUAACUUGUUUUAUUUAAUAUGAACUAUAUAUUGAGCAAAAAUAAAUUACUCUAGGGAUAACAGCAUAAUUUGAUAAAGUUUGUGACCUCGAUGUUGGACUAGGGAUUUCAUUAACCAGCAGUUAAUGAAA
rnacentral:rRNA from 1 species